rnacentral:rRNA from 1 species
AACGCGAAGAACCUUACCUGGGUUUGACAUGUACUGGAAGACUACCAGAGAUGGUGUCGCCUUCGGGCCGGUACACAGGUGCUGCAUGGCUGUCGUCAGCUCGUGUCGUGAGAUGUUGGGUUAAGUCCCGCAACGAGCGCAACCCUUGCGAAUAGUUGCCAGCAUUCAGUUGGGCACUCUAUUCGGACUGCCGACGUUAAGUCGGAGGAAGGUGGGGAUGACGUCAAGUCCUCAUGGCCUUUAUAUCCAGGGCCACACACGUGCUACAAUGGGCGGUACAGAGAGAAGCUAAGUAGCGAUAUGGAGCUAAUCUCAUAAAACCGCUCUAAGUUCGGAUCGGAGUCUGCAACUCGACUCCGUGAAGCUGGAAUUGCUAGUAAUCGCGGAUCAGCACGCCGCGGUGAAUACGUUCCCGGGCCUUGUACACACCGCGAGC